AUUUUGUAUUUUAAUCUUGUCUGAAAUGUGUGUAUUUCUGUCACGGGAACCAGCAAAGAACAUAGAAACAGGUAGCGUAAGACCCCUUAAGAUAAAGGGAAGGAGUCCAUUAUUUGCAUAGAGCAGGUGUCUGUGGGAGGUUCACUUUCUCUCUUUGCGUUGCUUCGAAUUCUUCGUUUUUACUACAUUCAACCACUUGUAAACCCUUGGUCAAGCUGUUAAUCAAGGCAUAAAUUCCAUUGUAGGUAUCCCUGCUAUCGAAGGAAAUAAAAAUUCUGUCUCUCUGGAAUUAGGAAGAGCAUGCAGAAUGUUGAAAGGGUUUAAGAUAGACUCAUGUGUGUGAGAAUGCCCCUUCUCAGAAAACCAGAAAAGACAGCCUGCACUAAUUAAAUGAUUGUGCUUUCUUUUCAAAAAAGUUUUCAGUUUUACUUAAAUAGGAGAGAAACCACAGCGGAGGAGGCACUCAGGGCCUUUUUCUUUUUUUCAGCAGUGGAGCAGCAGACAUCAUGGAUCACAGGUGUCUCUAAUCAGGCUGCAAGGAGACGUUUCUCGGCGUUUCUGAUAUUUCAACCCUACCGCACCUGCGAGGGGGAGGCUCCAGCCAGCCAGGCGGGCAGGAGGCCAUUGCUGCUGCCACUCCAGAACCUCAUAAGGGUUUAUUGUCUGCCCACAGCGUAUUUGUCCAGGUGGACCUCCUGAUCCUCCAGAACCUGCUGGGUCCCAUCCCAGCAGCUGUCAGGAGGGAGAUACCGUGUCCUCACUAGCAGCUGCAGGCUCUUUGCCUGUUUGUGGUGUCAAUGUUUGAGUCUCCCCCUAAUUCACAUGCUGAAAUUCUCACCCCCAAGGUGAUGGUGUUAGGAGCUGGGGGCUUUAGGAGAUGAUGAACUCAUAAAGGUGGACCCCCAUGAGUGGGAUUCGUGCCCUUUUGAAAGAGAUCGUGGAGAGCUCCCUCACUCCUUCUACCAUGUGAGGACACAGUGAGAAGCUGCCAUCUAUGACCAAGGAAACAGAUACUCAGCAGACACCAGAUCUGCCAGCACCUUGAUCUGGGACUUCUGACCUCUAGCGUUGUGAGAAGUGACUGUGUUGUGUGAAGGUCACGGUCUAUGGUGACAGAACACCACAGGGGACCCAGACAUGGCCCCCAUGCUCGCUACAGGAAGCCGGCGGUGGAGCCCUCUUCCCUCCUUGAAGUCUGGAUGUGACCGAAAAACUGUGGGUUCAAAUGUAAACAGGCUUGUUCUGUGAAGAUGGACCUUUAUUCUGGCAGAUUUCAGCGUGACUUGCUUGUAUUGUCAAUUGUGACUUAAGAUGGGUGUCGCUAGUCCAGGGUGAGACAGUGGGAACUGGCGUGGAUGCAGCUGGGGUCCGCACCCUUCUUAAGUGGUAGCAGCUGACGUUCAUGGAGUACACAUUCCGAGCCAAGCAUUCUUUUAUCAUUUUCUUAUUAAUUCUCUUUAUAAGUCUUUGAGAAAAGUGCUCUUAUUAGCCCCAUUUUAAAGAUGCAGAGAUGGAGACACAGGGAAGUUGCAUGAUCUGAGUACCUUAUGGCAGGUGCUGGCAGAGUUAGGAGAGGAGCCAGGAGGUUCCCGUCCAAUGCCUGCAGCUGCUGCCAAGCUUUCCUCCUUGCCAGGUCGCCACCUGAGAGCGGGAGCUGAGAGAAACUUGCUCUCUGCCCUGGUGGAGGCUGCAAGCCCUAGGAGGGAGGUUGACUCUUGCCCCACCAGUUCCAUGUUUCUGUUUUGCAUGGGCUCCACAUAGCACAUCCAUCUGCCCUGGGCUGAGAGAAGAGGCAUCAGAACUUUGCAGUCAACCAGUUCCAGUGGCUGACUAGGACUAAAGUGUGUUCAUGACCAGCACUACUUGAGGCAAUAUAGAACAUGUACUUUGAGACAAUCAGGGAACUCUGCAGUCAACACUCAUGUAGAAAAACAAACAAACAAAAAAAAAUCAAGGUACAAGAAUACACAGCAACUAAGAGGGCACUCAUGCAGAAAUGAGUGCCAGGUAUUCUCCAUCACUGAUAAAUUUAAGUUGCUGGCACGUGGCUAGAAGAAAAGGAACAAUGAAGCAUUUAGAUAAUUCAACUAUUCCCAAAAGUACAUGUUAAUUCCACAUCAUGGCAGUUGUGAUCAGUGCUGCAAUAAACAUGGGGUGCAGGUGUUUCUUUGGCA
ensembl:lncRNA